UACGGAGGAUCCAAGCGUUAUCCGGAUUUAUUGGGUUUAAAGGGCUCGUAGGCGGUUUGUCGCGUCUGCUGUGAAAACUCGGGGCUUAACUCCGGGCCUGCAGUGGGUACGGGCAGACUAGAGUGCGGUAGGGGAGACUGGAAUUCCUGGUGUAGCGGUGAAAUGCGCAGAUAUCAGGAGGAACACCGGUGGCGAAGGCGGGUCUCUGGGCCGUAACUGACGCUGAGGAGCGAAAGCGUGGGGAGCGAACAGG
rnacentral:rRNA from 1 species